GUGAAACUGAUCUCUCCGUGAAGAAGCGGAGAUGUACAUAUAANACGAGAAGACCCCAUGGAGCUUUAAACCCAACAACACCCGCCCCCCUCCAAAUCCUAUUAUUUACCCGGUGAUUGUUUGUUUGGUUUUAGGUUGGGGUGACCGCGGAGUAUAAGAUAUCCUCCAUGAAAAAAAGCUAACUGCCCUUAUUAGAGAAAGACACUUCCAAAAAAUAAUAAAUUAAUUUUAAAUGAUCCGACAUUCGAUCAACGAACCAAGUUACCCUGGGGAUAACAGCGCAAUCCGUCCCGAGAGCCCCUAUCGACAGGCGGGUUUACGACCUCGAUGUUGGAUCAGGGUAUCCCAGUGGUGCAGCAGCUACUA
rnacentral:rRNA from 1 species